rnacentral:rRNA from 1 species
UACAGAGGUCUCAAGCGUUGUUCGGAAUCACUGGGCGUAAAGCGUGCGUAGGCUGUUUCGUAAGUCGUGUGUGAAAGGCGCGGGCUCAACCCGCGGACGGCACAUGAUACUGCGAGACUAGAGUAAUGGAGGGGGAACCGGAAUUCUCGGUGUAGCAGUGAAAUGCGCAGAUAUCGGGAAGAACACCGGUGGCGAAGGCGGCCUUCUGGGCCAUCACUGACGCUGAGGCGCGAAAGCUAGGGGAGCAAACAGG